GCCAAAAAAUUAACAUUUUGAUGCUUGCUCGAAGCAUACCUUGAUAGGUUUUCCUUAGAAUAGGAUCAACCUGUUAGACCCAAGCACAAUAUUACAAAGAGUGGAGAAUGGUCCCAGAAGAUGUGAGAGCUCCAUUGCGACACUAUCUUUUGGAACAUUUUGACAUCAACUUGAAUGAUGAGACAACUAAAAAAUGCAUUGAUGAACAAAUGAGAAAAGCUUGGAAGGGUCAUUGUGGGUAAUCAACCAACUUAUGAAGAGUUAGUUAAACGACUUAAUGAUACAACUUCCCGCCUUAAUGCUACUAACGAACAACUUAGUGUAAUUGUGGAUAUACUUCAUCAUAACAAUUUGAUGGCACUGCCUCCACCACUUCCAACAGACCAAGCUUCAGAUGCAAAUUUAAGAGAGUCGCCAUUUAUUUCAGUUCGGGAGUCACAAGAUGAUUCUUAGUUUAUUUACAUUAAUUUACUAAGGAAUGAACUUUAUGAAGUUUUUUUAUUUUGGUAGGGGUAACCUUAAAAUGAUAACUUUAUGACUUAUUUUAGUAUUGAACAUUAUAAAGAAUUUUAGCAUUAAACAUUUUAUUAUUGAA